CCGUAGGUGAACCUGCGGCUGGAUCAUUU
rnacentral:rRNA from 1 species